rnacentral:rRNA from 1 species
ACUCAAAGGAAUAGACGGGGGCCCGCACAAGCGGUGGAGCAUGUGGAUUAAUUCGUCACUAACCGAAGAACCUUACCCAGGUUUGACAUCUGACGCACCGGUGUGAAAGCAUCGUUCCUUCGGGACGUCAAGACAGGUGUUGCAUGGCUGUCGUCAGCUCGUGUCGUGAGAUGUUGGGUUAAGUCCCGCAACGAGCGCAACCCUCACCGUAUGUUGGCAGCGUAAAGUCGGCAACUCUUACGGAACUGCCCGUGCAAGCGGGAGGAAGGUGGGGACGACGUCAAGUCGGCAUGGCCCUUACGCCUGGGGCUUCACACAUGCUACAAUGGCUCCUACAAAGGGUAGCGAACUCGUGAGGGGGAGCGAAUCUCAAAAAGGGGGCCUCAGUUCGGAUUGUAGGCUGCAACUCGCCUACAUGAAGCUGGAAUCGCUAGUAACCGCCGGUCAGCUAAACGGCGGUGAAUACGUUCCCGGGCCUUGUACACACCGCCCGU